CCUACGGGAGGCAGCAGUGGGGAAUAUUGCACAAUGGGCGCAAGCCUGAUGCAGCCAUGCCGCGUGUGUGAAGAAGGCCUUCGGGUUGUAAAGCACUUUCAGCGGGGAGGAAGGCGGUGAGGUUAAUAACCUCAUCGAUUGACGUUACCCGCAGAAGAAGCACCGGCUAACUCCGUGCCAGCAGCCGCGGUAAUACGGAGGGUGCAAGCGUUAGUCGGAAUUACUGGGCGUAAAGCGCACGCAGGCGGUCUGUCAAGUCGGAUGUCAAAUCCCCGGGCUCAACCUGGGAACUGCAUUCGAAACUGGCAGGCUAGAGUCUUGUAGAGGGGGGUAGAAUUCCAGGUGUAGCGGUGAAAUGCGUAGAGAUCUGGAGGAAUACCGGUGGCGAAGGCGGCCCCCUGGACAAAGACUGACGCUCAGGUGCGAAAGCGUGGGGAGCAAACAGGAUUAGAUACCCGUGUAGUC
rnacentral:rRNA from 1 species